AAAUCUGGAGGUGAUGCCAAAGGCAAUGAUCCUCCAGCAACAGGGGUUGUUGGAACAGGGAGACCUGAUGUUGGCUCAUCUUUCGAUAGUCAACCAAUUUCCAAAAUUAGAAGCAAAACAGAAAAAUAUUCUGGUGGUGGCAAUUCAUCUGUUGGCUCGGAGCUCUGCAGGCAAGGACUGGCAAAUGCACUCUUUCUCAACCUGCUGUCGCCGACCUCAGUGAGAUUCUUAUGUUUCUACUUGUAGGUUGGGCCGACGAUGUAGCUUUGCUAGCGA
rnacentral:misc_RNA from 1 species